AGCAGCCGCGGUAAUUCCAGCUCCAAUAGCGUAUAUUAAAGUUGUUGCAGUUAAAAAGCUCGUAGUUGAAUUUCGGGGUCAGUAGGUUGGUCGUGCCACUGGUAUGCACUGGCCUCACUGAUUCCUCCUUCUUGUAGAACCGUAAUGCCAUUAGUUUGGUGUUGCGGGGAAACAGGACUGUUACUUUGAAAAAAUUAGAGUGUUUAAAGCAGGCUAACGCCUGAAUACAUUAGCAUGGAAUAAUGAAAUAGGACGUUCGAUCCUAUUUUGUUGGUUUCUAGGAUUGACGUAAUGAUUAAUAGGGAUAGUUGGGGGCAUUAGUAUUCAAUUGUCAGAGGUGAAAUUCUUGGAUUUAUUGAAGACUAACUACUGCGAAAGCAUUUGCCAAGGAUGUUUUCAUUAAUCAAGAACGAAAGUUAGGGGAUCGAAGACGAUCAGAUACCGUCGUAG
rnacentral:rRNA from 1 species